AUGCAAGUCGAACGAUGAACCCCGCUUGCGGGGGGAUUAGUGGCGAACGGGUGAGUAACACGUGAGUAACCUGCCCUUAACUCUGGGAUAAGCCUUGGAAACGAGGUCUAAUACUGGAUAUUGACUUUACCUCGCAUGGGGUUUUGUUGAAAGAUUUAUUGGUUUUGGAUGGACUCGCGGCCUAUCAGCUUGUUGGUGAGGUAAUGGCUCACCAAGGCGACGACGGGUAGCCGGCCUGAGAGGGUGACCGGCCACACUGGGACUGAGACACGGCCCAGACUCCUACGGGAGGCAGCAGUGGGGAAUAUUGCACAAUGGGCGAAAGCCUGAUGCAGCGACGCCGCGUGAGGGAUGACGGCCUUCGGGUUGUAAACCUCUUUCAGUAGGGAACAAGGCCAGCAUUUUUGUUGGUUGAGGGUACUUGCAGAAGAAGCGCCGGCUAACUACGUGCCAGCAGCCGCGGUAAUACGUAGGGCGCAAGCGUUAUCCGGAAUUAUUGGGCGUAAAGAGCUCGUAGGCGGUUUGUCGCGUCUGCCGUGAAAGUCCGGGGCUCAACCCCGGAUCUGCGGUGGGUACGGGCAGACUAGAGUGAUGUAGGGGAGACUGGAAUUCCUGGUGUAGCGGUGAAAUGCGCAGAUAUCAGGAGGAACACCGAUGGCGAAGGCAGGUCUCUGGGCAUUAACUGACGCUGAGGAGCGAAAGCAUGGGGAGCGAACAGGAUUAGAUACCCUGGUAGUCCAUGCCGUAAACGUUGGGCACUAGGUGUGGGGGACAUUCCACGUUUUCCGCGCCGUAGCUAACGCAUUAAGUGCCCCGCCUGGGGAGUACGGCCGCAAGGCUAAAACUCA
rnacentral:rRNA from 1 species